AUUGAACGCUGGCGGCAGGCUUAACACAUGCAAGUCGAGCGGAGAUGAGGUGCUUGCACCUUAUCUUAGCGGCGGACGGGUGAGUAAUGCUUAGGAAUCUGCCUAUUAGUGGGGGACAACAUUCCGAAAGGAAUGCUAAUACCGCAUACGUCCUACGGGAGAAAGCAGGGGAUCUUCGGACCUUGCGCUAAUAGAUGAGCCUAAGUCGGAUUAGCUAGUUGGUGGGGUAAAGGCCUACCAAGGCGACGAUCUGUAGCGGGUCUGAGAGGAUGAUCCGCCACACUGGGACGGAGGCACGGCCCAGACUCCUACGGGAGGCAGCAGUGGGGAAUAUUGGACAAUGAGGGGAACCCUGAUCCAGCCAUGCCGCGUGUGUGAAGAAGGCCUUAUGGUUGUAAAGCACUUUAAGCGAGGAGGAGGCUACUGAGACUAAUACUCUUGGAUAGUGGACGUUACUCGCAGAAUAAGCACCGGCUAACUCUGUGCCAGCAGCCGCAGUAACAC
rnacentral:rRNA from 1 species